AUUGAACGCUGGCGGCAGGCCUAACACAUGCAAGUCGAGCGGAUGAAGGGAGCUUGCUCCUGGAUUCAGCGGCGGGCGGGUGAGUAAUGCCUAGGAAUCUGCCUGGUAGUGGGGGAUAACGUCCGGAAACGGGCGCUAAUACCGCAUACGUCCUGAGGGAGAAAGUGGGGGAUCUUCGGACCUCACGCUAUCAGAUGAGCCUAGGUCGGAUUAGCUAGUUGGUGGGGUAAAGGCCUACCAAGGCGACGAUUCGUAACUGGUCUGAGAGGAUGAUCAGUCACACUGGAACUGAGACACGGUCCAGACUCCUACGGGAGGCAGCAGUGGGGAAUAUUGGACAAUGGGCGAAAGCCUGAUCCAGCCAUGCCGCGUGUGUGAAGAAGGUCUUCGGAUUGUAAAGCACUUUAAGUUGGGAGGAAGGGCAGUAAGUUAAUACCUUGCUGUUUUGACGUUACCAACAGAAUAAGCACCGGCUAACUUCGUG
rnacentral:rRNA from 1 species